AGGUCUGUCUGUCUCUCUCUCCCAAAUUUGCUAGUUCUGUGCUGGGUUUAUGUUAAAGUGGAUAUCCAAAUCCUACUAUACACGCUAACCUCUCUCUUCCUUCCUUCUUAUGGUGGCGUUGAAAGAAAGGGGAUCACCAUCGUCUCCACCAUCAUGACCAUCAUCAUGAUUUCAAGAUUAGAAAAUGUCCAACACCAACAGCCACUACCAGCCGCCCACAAAAUCGCGAAGGAGAACAUCCUUAAUUAAGUCAGGAGGAACGUUGCUCCACACUAUCACACCGCAGAGUCUUGGAUUUGGAUUUGAAAAGGCGAAAGCUCACAAGAGUGAUGUCUGCAUUGCCACCUUCAUGAGGUAAGACAUCACUAAAGAGUAUGGGGGAGGCAAAGAGGUUUGAAAAAUUCUUGGUGCACAACUUUUGUGGGAAAAUGCUUUGGUGAGUCAUUGAUUCUGCAUAAUAUAUGCAAAACUUUUGCUGAUUUGACAGCAUGUUUGGUUUCUGUAAUUUUCAAAAUUCUCCAACUUUAAUGUGUUUUUCCUUGC